rnacentral:rRNA from 1 species
UAACACAUGCAAGUCGAGCGGUAACAGGAGAAGCUUGCUUCUCGCUGACGAGCGGCGGACGGGUGAGUAAUACUUAGGAAUCUACCUAGUAGUGGGGGAUAGCUCGGGGAAACUCGAAUUAAUACCGCAUACGACCUACGGGAGAAAGGGGGCAACUUGUUGCUCUCGCUAUUAGAUGAGCCUAAGUCGGAUUAGCUAGAUGGUGGGGUAAAGGCCUACCAUGGCGACGAUCUGUAGCUGGUCUGAGAGGAUGAUCAGCCACACCGGGACUGAGACACGGCCCGGACUCCUACGGGAGGCAGCAGUGGGGAAUAUUGGACAAUGGGGGCAACCCUGAUCCAGCCAUGCCGCGUGUGUGAAGAAGGCCUUUUGGUUGUAAAGCACUUUAAGCAGUGAAGAAGACUCCAUGGUUAAUACCCAUGGACGAUGACAUUAGCUGCAGAAUAAGCACCGGCUAACUCUGUGCCAGCAGCCGCGGUAAUACAGAGGGUGCAAGCGUUAAUCGGAAUUACUGGGCGUAAAGCGAGCGUAGGUGGCUUGAUAAGUCAGAUGUGAAAGCCCCGGGCUUAACCUGGGAACGGCAUCUGAUACUGUUAGGCUAGAGUAGGUGAGAGGAAGGUAGAAUUCCAGGUGUAGCGGUGAAAUGCGUAG